UACGAAGGGGGCUAGCGUUGUUCGGAAUUACUGGGCGUAAAGCGCACGUAGGCGGGUGGUUAAGUCAGGGGUGAAAUCCCGGAGCUCAACUCCGGAACUGCCUUUGAUACUGGCCAUCUAGAGAUCGGAAGAGGUGAGUGGAAUUCCCAGUGUAGAGGUGAAAUUCGUAGAUAUUGGGAAGAACACCAGUGGCGAAGGCGGCUCACUGGUCCGAUACUGACGCUGAGGUGCGAAAGCGUGGGGAGCAACAG
rnacentral:rRNA from 1 species